rnacentral:rRNA from 1 species
GAUGAACGCUGGCGGCGUGCCUAAUACAUGCAAGUCGAGCGAACGGACGAGAAGCUUGCUUUUCUGAUGUUAGCGGCGGACGGGUGAGUAACACGUGGAUAACCUACCUAUAAGACUGGGAUAACUUCGGGAAACCGGAGCUAAUACCGGAUAAUAUUUUGAACCGCAUGGUUCAAAAGUGAAAGACGGUCUUGCUGUCACUUAUAGAUGGAUCCGCGCUGCAUUAGCUAGUUGGUAAGGUAACGGCUUACCAAGGCAACGAUGCAUAGCCGACCUGAGAGGGUGAUCGGCCACACUGGAACUGAGACACGGUCCAGACUCCUACGGGAGGCAGCCGUAGGGAAUCUUCCGCAAUGGGCGAAAGCCUGACGGAGCAACGCCGCGUGAGUGAUGAAGGUCUUCGGAUCGUAAAACUCUGUUAUUAGGGAAGAACAUAUGUGUAAGUAACUGUGCACAUCUUGACGGUACCUAAUCAGAAAGCCACGGCUAACUACGUG